AUCUACUACAGUUUUCAGCUCGGACUGAAGUCGAUUCAACUCUGCAGCAUUGCCUUCUCUAGCUGCAGUGACACAAGCUUCAAAAAAGACAGCAACAAACAACUUUAAUAGGCUGCCUGAGCAGUUUCCCAUCCUCCAUUAUGCUGCAGAUAUGCUGGAACAUAUGAUGAGAUGCUGUUUGGAAGCAGAUCUGAAUGAUGCCUGGAAGCAGGUCACAUUGGAUUAGGUUUUGUUCGGGCUGAGCAGUGCUGGAAAAGGCUUCGCUAUACUGUGAUUGCUCCUUCUCAAGUGCUUUCUGGGUUGAAUAAUUUACAUGGCACAAUCUUGGAGCCGGCAGGCUGAAUUUGAUGUAUGUGAUGGGCAAACCCAAGGGCAGCAUAAUAGCAUGCAGGAGAGGCAGAAGAAGUGGAGACAGAGAGGGAUGAGUGAGUAACACCAGAGAGACAAUACGCCUCUGUCUUUCUCGCACAUCAUCCCUCACUGCUUAUCUGCCAAGCGGGGGGACGUGCCUUUUGGACAAGCUUUUGCCGGUUAAAAAAUCUAUCUGACAAGCUGUUUUGGCAUCUCAUACCCCUGGGAUAUAUUACAAUUAAUAAGUAAGGAUGUGAAGGAGAUGUCCAAUGACUGCUGUCAAGCCUUGUUGCAUGUGUAUGUGCCCACAGCUAUGGUAAUAAG